AUUUAUAUAGUUUAAAAAAAACCUUACAUUUUCACUGUAAAAAUAAAAUUUAAUUUUUAUAAAUA
rnacentral:tRNA from 1 species